CCAUUUAUAAAUUAUAACUUCCAGUUAUUUGAAAAUAUUAUAGAAUUUUCAAAAAAAAUUAGAAUUAUUGAAAAGAAUAUUAACAUCACUUUUAACCGAUUGUUGCUAAUGUGGAGUCAGAAAAAAAAAUUACGGGAUAGUUACAGAUAAAUAAAAAUUUGAUUUACAUUCAGUUUUCAACAAAAAGAAUGCUUGAAACAAAAUUAACAUACUGAGACUAAAUGGGAGAUCUUAAAAAUUUAGUCAAUCAAUUCAAUAAUUUAAGAAACCACUGUAAUUUUAGAUAAAAAUUU
rnacentral:lncRNA from 1 species